UCUUUGACAGCUUUUUGAUCUUUUCACAUGAGAAUUGUUUAGAGAUGUUGUAAUCAUCAAAAUCAUCAAGAAGCCAUGACUUCACAACGUUCAGUUAAUUCAACACACACAUUCAACUUCCAAGAGAGUUUGAUGGUGUAAGAGUGAAGAUGAUGAUUCAAUAUUUUCUUGAAAUGGAAGUCACCUUGUUUUGUUUUUUUCAUGGAUGUCGGUGACCCUUUGAUUCUUGAAGUGGUGGUCACCGAAUCUUGUUUUGUUUUUUUUGGCUGGGGAUUUAUGCAACCUCUUUUGAUUGAUGUUUUUUUUAUUUUUGAUCCCUAAUUUUUUCCUUGACCUUUUUUUCAAAUCUUUUAGUCCACCGGGAUUGCCCUCAUUUUUUCCUAAGCCACCUCCUUGGGUGUCCAACUUAGUAGGCUUUCU
rnacentral:lncRNA from 1 species